rnacentral:rRNA from 1 species
GAUGAACGCUAGCUACAGGCUUAACACAUGCAAGUCGAGGGACCGGCGCACGGGUGAGUCACACGUAUCCAACCUUCCCUUUACUCGGGGAUAGCCUUUCGAAAGAAAGAUUAAUACCCGAUAUAAAGGAUUGGGAUGCGUUCCAUUAGGUUGUUGGUGAGGUAACGGCCCACCAAGCCUUCGAUGGAUAGGGGUUCUGAGAGGAAGGGCACCCACAGUGGAAAGGAGACACGGUCCAAACGAGUACGGGAGGCAGCAGGGAGGAAUAGUGGUAAAUGGGCGCUAGCCUGAACCAGCCAAGGAGCGUGAAGGAUGAAGGCUUAUGGGGCGUAAACUGCUGUUAGAUAAGAAUAUGUAUUAUAUGAAUAAGGAUCGGCUAACUCCGUGCCAGCAGCCGCGGUAAUAC